AUUGAACGCUGGCGGCAUGCCUUACACAUGCAAGUCGAACGGCAGCACGGGGCAACCUGGUGGCGAGUGGCGAACGGGUGAGUAAUGCAUCGGAACGUACCUUUCAGUGGGGGAUAACGUAGCGAAAGUUACGCUAAUACCGCAUAUUCUGUGAGCAGGAAAGCAGGGGACCGCAAGACCUUGCGCUGAUUGAGCGGCCGAGGUCAGAUUAGCUAGUUGGUGAGGUAAAGGCCAACCAAGGCGACGACCUGUAGCGGGUCUGAGAGGAUGAUCCGCCACACUGGAACUGAGACACGGUCCAGACUCCUACGGGAGGCAGCAGUGGGGAAUUUUGGACAAUGGGGGCAACCCUGAUCCAGCCAUGCCGCGUGAGUGAAGAAGGCCUUCGGGUUGUAAAGCUCUUUCGGCCGGGAAGAAAUCGCACGGGCUAAUACCCUGUGUGGAUGACGGUACCGGAAUAAGAAGCACCGGCUAACUACGUGCCAGCCGCCGCGGUAAAAC
rnacentral:rRNA from 1 species